GUCUAUGGCCAUGCCACCCUGAAUAAGCCCGAUCUCGGAAGCUAAGCAGGGUCGGGCCUGGUUAGUACUUUGAUGGGAAAAUCACUUUGACAUAUUCCAGGCUCCUCAUGGAUC
ensembl:rRNA 5S_rRNA 5S ribosomal RNA